rnacentral:rRNA from 1 species
GUGCCAGCCGCGCGGUAAUACGUAGGGUCCGAGCGUUGUCCGGAAUUACUGGGCGUAAAGAGCUCGUAGGUGGUUUGUCGCGUUGUUCGUGAAAACUCACAGCUUAACUGUGGGCGUGCGGGCGAUACGGGCAGACUUGAGUACUGCAGGGGAGACUGGAAUUCCUGGUGUAGCGGUGGAAUGAGCAGAUAUCAGGAGGAACACCGGUGGCGAAGGCGGGUCUCUGGGCAGUAACUGACGCUGAGGAGCGAAAGCUUGGGGAGCGAACAGGAUUAGAUACCCUGGUAGUCCACGCCGUAAACGGUGGGUACUAGGUGUGGGUUUCCUUCCUUGGGAUCCGUGCCGUAGCUAACGCAUUAAGUACCCCGCCUGGGGAGUACGGCCGCAAGCUAAAAACUCAAAGAAAUUGACGGGGGCCCGCACAAGCGGCGGAGCAUGUGGAUUAAUUCGAUGCAACGCGAAGAACCUUACCUGGGUUUGACAUGCACAGGACGACUGCAGAGAUGUGGUUUCCCUUGUGGCCUGUGUGCAGGUGGUGCAUGGCUGUCGUCAGCUCGUGUCGUGAGAUGUUGGGUUAAGUCCCGCAACGAGCGCAACCCUUGUCCUAUGUUGCCAGCGGGUUAUGCCGGGGACUCGUAGGAGACUGCCGGGGUCAACUCGGAGGAAGGUGGGGAUGACGUCAAGUCAUCAUGCCCCUUAUGUCCAGGGCUUCACACAUGCUACAAUGGCCGGUACAAAGGGCUGCGAUGCCGUGAGGUGGAGCGAAUCCUUUCAAAGCCGGUCUCAGUUCGGAUCGGGGUCUGCAACUCGACCCCGUGAAGUCGGAGUCGCUAGUAAUCGCAGAUCAGCAACGCUGCGGUGAAUACGUUCCCGGGCCUUGCACACACCGCCCGUC